rnacentral:tRNA from 1 species
UCUACGAUAACUCAGUUUGGUAGAGUAUCAGUUCGCGCCUGAUAGGUCGGAGGUUCGAGUCCUUCUCGUAGAA